GUCCACAUCAAGGGAGUUCCUGGUCUCACCCCCUUCACUGAUGGUCACACAGGAAGUGCUUCGUUGAGUCCCGGGCACCACAUUUUAAGAGGGAAGUUGACAGCGAACUGGAACACGUUCAAAGGAAGAAUGGUGACAGUCGUGUCUCCCAGGCCCACCGUGUCACACAGGCAGGGAAAACGAUCCAUUAACCCGAUUGUCUGCUGGUUUUCUUUUACUACUUACUGCUCGACUCAUCACGUUCGCUGGCAGCCAUGAAUGAAAUGUAACGUGCUCAAUGACUGACAUCCAUUAGAGCCCUUCGACAAACCCCGGGCUGCGUUUUGAAAGGCCCCAGGAAGAGAAAGGACUGUGUGCUUCUUUGAAUGUGGGCCCCCGCUGAAUCACUGCCAAGAGCAGACCGCUCCAUUCAAAGGGCUGAGAGAAUAAAUGAGAAUAACAUCCUUGGGGACCCACAGGAUCAGCUUACUCCGAAAAUGCUCAGUUUCACAAAGGGUCAGAGUCACAAGGUAAAUGAAAAUGGCCAGGAGGGGACUUUGAUGGCCGAAACACUGUAACAGUAGAGGACUUGAAAGAAAACUUUAUUUAAAAAAAUUAAAGAGGCAGUUAAAAGAGGAGGGAGUAGUGAGGGACCUUAGAAGGGCAAAGUCCGUUGAUAACAACAACAGCAAAAAGGCUUCUGCAGAGACAUCAGCGAGUUUUCAUUGGUUACAAACACAGUAUAUAAAUAGACGUAUAUGCUUAUGAAAAUGUGUAAGUAUCUACAUUUGCACACACCACACAUUGUCCUUAUUUUACUCAUUAUUAAUAAAAAUGGGCUGGAAUCCGUGAGCUCAGUUUCUUGUUGAAUUAUCCACAAGUACUGUAAUGUUCGUCCAAGUCACCAGUUAUGAAGUUCAGAGACUUUUCAAAUACUGCAGUCUGGAGAUUCAGCCUUGCUUUAUACUCACACACUGUAUCUAACCUGGGAAGCUGUCUUUUGCCAGAUUUAAAGGAAGUACUUCAGAAGCAAUGUCUAAGAAAGGGAAUCAGAAAGCCCACAAUGCUCCUGAUACAUCUCCAAAGAGACCGUGGUGGUCACCGGUCACAAGGUCCUGCCUCUGGAGACCCUCAGCCCCUUGCCUCUAGGAUGGCUUUUAGACUUAUAGGCGGUGGUAGCUUCAAGAAACCAGGAUAAAAUUUACCUGUAUGGCUUACCUCAGUUAGGGGAAUCCCCUGCCCUCCAACUUACUCAAAAACUUCAGAGCCCUUCAUUGUUUCCUAGAGGAAAAGAAGAUGUAAUGGAAUGAAUGAUAAUUAUGUUGCUGAAGCCCACGGGGGAAGGAGACAUGUGACAGCCUUGCCUCUGUGGGUCUGUUUUCUAGAAUUGAUGUUACAACAGGUCGAAUGUGCCCACUUACUUUUGAAGACACUUACCCGGAGCUGGGAGGAUGAGUAAAUGGAAAAGAGUCUCUGCAGGUGUGAUUGGUCUAUAAAUUUGGGAGGAGUAUGUCAAGGUCAAGGGUGGACUCUAACCUUGGUAAGAGGUGACGGAAGACAGAGGAGGAAGAUGAGGACAGAAACAUGAAGAAUGGGAGUGUGCUUGCAAGACAAGGACUAUGAGGUGUUGCUAGUAGCUGCGAGAAGCUAAGUGCGAUGAAGGAGGCAGAUUCUGCCUCAAAGUCACACCAAGGACACGUUGGUGUUGAGCCUCUGACUUCCAGAGCUGUCACAGAACAAGCUUCUGUUGCUUUAAGCCAUCAGAUUCAUUGUGGUUUGCACUGGCAGCUUCAAAAAGGUAGUAUACUGGUGGCAACAGCUGUGAGCUAUUUUGACUACAGGGUCAUCCAGCUUGGACUUAAUGGUCCCCAAUGAGCCAUCAGGUAGUUUUGAGGCAGCUGCUAGAGUUACUGGGUGACACUGACCAAGAAAGCUCACCCUGUUGAAGGUUUGCUGGGAGAAUGGCUUCUUUGGACUCAGUGCCCUAAUAUGCGUAUUUCCUUGGCACAGCAUCAUUUAGCUGGCUAUUUUUUUAAAGGGGCAAAACAUUCUUCCACACUCAUGAAUACAUUGGGAUAGGCUUAUGUUAUAAGUACAAUUAGUAUCAGGAUUCUUCAUGAAAGCUGCUAGCAUUAAAAAAAAGUCCACCUUAUUCUGCACAGAACAAUCACACAUUUACUAUGUAUUAGCUGUUGAGUGAUUGAGAGUUAUUUUAAGUCUUUCUAUUCGAACUCAUUGUUUGCUAUUUGUAUAUUGGAAUCUUACUAGGUCUUAAUAAUUUGGUUGGGAGCUUGGGAUCAUGAUGCAGCACAUUUUAAUUUUUUCCCAUUUAAAUAAAUGGAAAGUUGGCCUCA